rnacentral:rRNA from 1 species
CGAACGGAAAGGCCCUGCUUGCAGGGUACUCGAGUGGCGAACGGGUGAGUAACACGUGGGUGAUCUGCCCUGCACUUCGGGAUAAGCUUGGGAAACUGGGUCUAAUACCGGAUAGGACCGCACUUUAGUGUGUGUGGUGGAAAGUUUUUUCGGUGUAGGAUGAGCUCGCGGCCUAUCAGCCUGUUGGUGGGGUAAUGGCCUACCAAGGCGGCGACGGGUAGCCGGCCUGAGAGGGUGUACGGCCACAUUGGGACUGAGAUACGGCCCAGACUCCUACGGGAGGCAGCAGUGGGGAAUAUUGCACAAUGGGCGCAAGCCUGAUGCAGCGACGCCGCGUGGGGGAUGAAGGCCUUCGGGUUGUAAACUCCUUUCGCUAGGGACGAAGCUUUUUGUGACGGUACCUAGAUAAGAAGCACCGGCUAACUACGUGCCAGCAGCCGCGGUAAUACGUAGGGUGCGAGCGUUGUCCGGAAUUACUGGGCGUAAAGGGCUCGCAGGUGGUUUGUCGCGUCGUCUGUGAAAUUCUGGGGCUUAACUCCGGGCGUGCAGGCGAUACGGGCAUAACUUGAGUGCUGUAGGGGUAACUGGAAUUCCUGGUGUAGCGGUGAAAUGCGCAGAUAUCAGGAGGAACACCGAUGGCGAAGGCAGGUUACUGGGCAGUUA